GUGUAAGAAUAAUUGAGCGAUUUAUAUAUAUGUUGCGCAAGACUUGAACAAGUGAGCUCCAGCUCCACUGAAAAGGAAGCAAUUAACAAAUCAUGUAUUAGCUAACAGGAAAGCCAAGCCAACCAAUGUCUAAAUCCAAAAUAAUUACAAGAACAUUGUAAUUUAACAAAAUCAUAGUGGCACACAACAAAGUCGGUGCAAUCCAAAUAUGGACGCAAUAAUGAUCUAAAAGUUGUGAUGCCUGAAAGUUUAAAAACUCUUUAGACCGAUUAUGUAUAUCAAUUAAUAUCAAGGAUUACAACACAACGGAGAUAAUCCGAAAUUACCUAACUACCGACUGGCCUAUCAAGCAAAUCUCUAAAAGUAACUACAAAAUCACUUAAAAGUAGUAAAAUAGCAUAGCUUUAAAAAUCAUCCCAAAUUCCAACAUCAAAGUUUUAAAUUAAUGUCUUUGUAACUGCCACCACAAUCGAGGCCAAGUGCAUGUUUAAAUUGACAGUAAAUUUUAAAAGUGACGGUAACACCACAUUGUAAUUUAACAAAAUCAUAGUGGCACACAACAAAGUCGGUGCAAUCCAAAUAUGGACGCAAUAAUGAUCUAAAAGUUGUGAUGCCUGAAAGUUUAAAAACUCUUUAGACCGAUUAUGUAUAUCAAUUAAUAUCAAGGAUUACAACACAACGGAGACACUGCGAAAUUACCUAACUACCGACUGGCCUAUCAAGCAAAUUUAAGCUCCACUGAAUAUCUAUUUACCAAUUUUAUGCUAUUUUACUUUUUUCCCAAUUCCUUAUUGUGUACUUAAGAGAAAAUAAAUUAAAAAUCAGUUAGAAAGUGAGAACAAAAGAAGAGGGUCAAAUAAUUAUUGAACUGAAAUUAAAGCAUUGUAAAUUGAAAUUUUAGAUUAGCACUCAUAUCAGCUCAAAAUUAGAACAAAUUGUAAACCCACAACUUCAUUUAGUAAAUCGCGAAUGAAUGACACUUAACAAGCAAGAGUACCAAAAUAAAAAUUGAAAUCACAAAAUAAAAUGAUUUGGAUAGAGAAUAGAACUUACUUGCUAUUGCAAACCGUGAGAAACGAGAGAGAUGAAACCUCAUUCAACAAAUCGCAAAGUAAUGACACUUAACAAGUAAGAUUACCAAAAUAAAAAUUGAAAUCGCAAACUAAAAUGAUUCGGAAAGAGAAUACAACUUACUUGCUACUGCAAAUCGCGAAGUGAAACGAGAGAGAUGAAACCUCAUUCAACAAAUCGCAAAGUAAUGACACUUAACAAGUAAGAUUACCAAAAUAAAAAUUGAAAUCGCAAACUAAAAUGAUUCGGAAAGAGAAUACAACUUACUUGCUACUGCAAAUCGCGAAGUGAAACGAGAGAGAUGAAUUUAGGGUUGUUUAAAAUAAAAUUUACGGUUUUUGGGGAUUAGGGUUUGUUAAGACAGUAGAGAGAAAAGAGUUUUAGAAAUGCAAAGAAAAAGAAAAGGUUUCUAAGUGUUUUUCGAAGGCGAUGUGUAGUUGCAUUUUCAUUGUACAAGACCAAACGGGCAAAACCUACAUUUUUUAUGCAUUUAUUUUUUUUAUUUAUAAAAGAGUAUAAUAAUUUUAAAAACAGUGACACUCUAAUUGUAGCUAAAAGUAGCAUUAGUGACAGAUAAAAAAUCAUCACAAAAUCUGAGUGGCAGAAUAGAUUUUGUUUUUUUGUAGUGAUCAUGCAAGAAAUAGAUUAACACAUAAAUAAGAUUUAGAUCAAUAUAGUUUAGGGUACGAGCAAGGUCAAAGAUGAAAGAACAUUUGCAUAAAGAAUUAUCAGAGGUUGUGUGAUUGAAUUAAUAUCUAUGUUUCAUCAUACAAAAAAUAUAAUUAAGAGAAAACAUAAAAAACCAAGAGGUUGAAUGAUUGAAUGAUUAAUACCUAUGUUUCAUCAAACAAUAAUCCUAAUCUCAAUUAUCCUAUAUAUCUACCAUUAAAUUGUAGUUGGUCUGAAUUGAUUGAUUAAAGCAUGCAAAGGUAUGUCAUCCUGUAAAUAAAAUAAUAAAAUAAUUUAAUUGAAAUAAACAACAACCACCUUAGGAGAGAGCUUAAUUAUUCAUUGACUUGUCGAAAGUAAUAGAAGUGUUCAUCAAUCAAGGGAAAAUAAACAAAACCCUCAAAGAGUUUGAUUUUUUGCACUAAAAUUUGAGAUGUUUUACUCUAACUCCAAGCACUUUGCAGUUUCCAAAGUGUUUGUCAUUUUUUCUCUCUCUAGUUGCACAAAAUUCCAUAAGUGUACGGACUUGCCAAGUAGUAAUACAUAUUAUUAUCUUAUCCAUAGUGAUUAAUUUAACAACUAUCAAACUAUUCAAGAUUUUAUAUUAUUUAGACUAAUUAAAAUUAUUGUUGAUUCACGAUAAUGAAAUCGCAACGAUAACAUAAAAAUUAUAAUGAGAAUUUUAAAUUAAUGCAAAAUAAACAUAGGGUCAUAGUUUUACUUGUAAUAUCGAUACCUCAAGUUCUAGUUUUAUACGAAUUCUUAUAUAUUUUCUCAAUUAUCAAUUUCUCUUUAAAACUAUUAACAAAGAUCCGUCAUUCAAUGUUAUUAAUAGUUGAGAGUUAGAAGGAAUGUCAAGCAGAGAUCAAUGUCAAACAAAAUUUAAAUCAAUACAGUUUAGUAUACAAGCAAGGUUAAGUAUGUAAAGACAUUUGCAGAUCCUAUAACACCCUAAAUUUUAUAAUAAACUAUUUGAUUAAUUAAAUAGGAUUUUAAAUAAUUAAUUUGAUGUUAAAAUUAUUAUAAAAUAUAUAUUAAUAAAUUUUGUGAUUAACUUUCGUUAUAUGGAUGUUUUCUAUGAUGUGCUAGUUUGAUAUACAUUAUAUUAAAUGAGCGAUAUAAAUAAUAAAAUUUAUUUUAUUAUAUUAUAUAUUUUUUUAAAAGCAAUAGUAUUUUAGUCCAAUAUUUUGAAGAAUAAGCAUUUAUGUGAUUUUACGUGUAUAUUCGCGCACCCAAUUAAUAUAACAUUCUUUUAUGCGUUUGACUAAUAUUAAAUGUGUACUUAAUUAUAUUUAUUUAAUUCAAAAUAUAUUUUAUUUUAAUUAUUUAUUUUAUAAAUUAUUAUCUUGAGAUAGUGAUAAUAUUGUGUUUGAUUUUCUUUAUUUUUAUAUAUUUAUUAUGAUAUUGUGAUUAUAUAUAUAUAUAUAUAUAUAUAUAUAUAGUAUGAUUUAGUAAUUAAUAUAAAGUGUUGAUUUUAUAUUUAUUUAUUUUAUAAUUUUGACUAUUCUCUAAUGAUAUAUUAUUAUAACGUGAGUAUUUUGAAAAAUAAGUAUAAUUAUAGUGAUUAAUUUGAAUAUGAGAGUUUGAGUUGGAAAGGUUAAUUAAUAUGUAUUUUUUUAAAAGGUUAAUUAUUUUAAUUUCUCUAAUUUAUCAAGUAUUAUUUUUGAAAUAUUAGUAAUUAAAUUUUGUUAAGAAAAAUAACUUUGGAAAUUUUUGGUUUUAUUAAAAAAAAAAGAUUAAAUGUGUUUCAUGGGAUAAGCCAAGUAAAACCUAAUUAAAGAAUAAAACCAAACCAAAAAAUAGAGGAAGAGAAAGAUACGACACGACAGCUGCUGCUCCCAAGGGGAAUUGGAACAAAAUUAGAAGAAAAUUGACACCGGUGAUCGACAACUGUUCCAGAAAAGUUUCUCUGUUUUUGUCCAAAUUCAGUAUGUUAUUUUACUCAAUUAACUAGUCAAUUAAACACGAUUUUCCAUAUAUUUAACAACCCCAAUUUCUCUAUAAAAUAUUUUAUUUCUCCGUUUGUAGAAUUCGUUAUUUUGCAUCGUUCUCCUUCACCGUAUGUCCGAUUUGAGUGAAACCAACGCCAAAACGUCAGUGUGAAAAGUGGCUAUAUUAUCCACUGAUUUGUUUUCUGAUUCAUGGUGAUUUUCCUCGACCGAAUUUCGAAUUUAGUUUUUAGAGUAUCUUCUCAUAAUUUACUUUUAAUGUUUACCCAUAAAUUGUCGAGUUAGAUCAAUUGAUGGACAAAAAGUCAAUGAACAAAUGUUGUUUGCUCGUGGAAUCCUAUUCGUGUGUGAAAGCGUCGAAAUAAGGUAAGGGGUGAGAGAGCAUUUGAAUUAAUGAGUAUAAUAUAUUGUGAGCUGAACGGGAAAACCGUAUUUCCCAACGAUUCAUCCGGGGCUCGCUACGUACGGCAAUAUCCCUUUGAGUGAUAAAUUGAUUAAUGUAAAAAUAUGAUAAUUGUGAGAUUAAAAUAUGGAAUAGAAAUAUUUAUAACGUGUUAAUUGAUUUAACUCCGUUGAAUGUGUGGUAUUUGAUUUAUUUUUAUUAAAUGUGAGAUAUUUGCUAUUAUUGUGAUAUUGGAUGUCGCAUGAAUUUUAUGUAUAUGUUUGAUUAGACGUGUCUAUGUGAUGUGAUAAUAAAAAGUAAAUUCAUUUUGAUAAGUUAAUGUAAUUAUGAUGAUGUAUAAUUAAUAAUAAUGAUGUUAUAAAUUUGUGAUAAGUGUAUGUGAUGAUGUAUGGUUAAUGAUAGUGAUGCUAUAAAUUUGUGAUGAGUUAGUGUGAUUGAGAAUAGUCACAAUGACAAAUGAUAUAAAUUGUAAGUAAAGUUAACAUUAUCCUUUUUUUUUUAUCAUUGCCAUGGAAUUGAGAUUUUGCAAUUUAAUACAAAAGUUUAGGAAUUGAUAAAAUUAUACAGUAAUAUAAAAGUUUAUUAGUUUGAUAUAUAUAUAUAUAUAUUUUUAUUAUUAUUACAUUAAUUUUUAUUAUCUAAAAUUUUAUUUUAAAGAAAUUCAACAAAUAUAUGUUAACAGGGAGCUCCUAAUAUGAUCUCCAAUUUAUAGGGUCCACCUGUGUUACUCAAUCGUUACCAACUAUAAUAGUUUUUUCUUUCUUUCUUUUUUUAGAAUUUAAGAAAAAAAUCGGUUAUUUUAACUAGGAGGUAUUAUUAACAUUAUGCCUUUAUAUUUAAUCCAAAAAUCCUAAAAAUAAAAUAAAAAAAUGUUAAAAAAGAAGAAAAAAAAUUAAAAACACCAAGCUGAAUUUCCCUCCUCACCUUCGGUUGAAUUCAGAUAUUUUUUAAUAAUUUAUCUUUAACCAAAGUUUAUUAAUUAUUUGAGCUAUUAUUUGAUUAAGUGUCCAUUCUCUUUUAUACAUUGAACAUUGAUAUAAUUAAAACAAACACCUAUUUUAUUUUUUUUUAAAUUGUAAUAAAUAAAUAAAUUCCCGGUAAGAGUUUAGGAGACAAAUGUCAAAUCUCAUCUCAGAAAGUUGUAAAAUGACGAAUAUUUACACUUUGAUUAAUAAUAAUUUAUCCCUUCUCUUUUUAUUUAAAUAAAUAAAAUUAUAACAACUAAAUUAUAAAGGAUAAAAAGGGAUUUUUUUGUUAAAAUAAUAAAAGUAAAAUUAAUUAAAAAUAAUGAUAAAUUACAAAUUAAAAAGCUAGUUGAGGUAACAUAUUAAAAAAAUGCUUUAAGUUAGUAAAAUAAUUAUAAACUUAUAAUGAUUAACAAAUAAAUAUUUUUUUAAUAUGAUUUAAUAAGUUAACUUAUUUGUCAGCAGACUCUUAACUUUUAUACUUCGGAAAUUUCUAAGAACAGACUUAUAGUAUUUAAAACAAGAGUUGAGAUUAUAAAGAUGGUCCAAAUUUUUUACCCCUUAAAAAUUUGAAACAUAAUUUAUUCACAUUUAAAAAAGAAACAAAAUGUAAAAUUUUAGCAUUAGUCUUAAUGUAAGCUAAACAAACCUUAAAUCUUAAUAAAAACAAAGCGGAGAAGUGUAGGUUUUAAUGUUCUGAAUUUUUUAAAUUAGAAAGUUUCGUUAGUGUUAGUCUUAGUGUAGCUUAAGUAAACGCUGACUCUAAAAUAAAAAUAAAAUAAAAUAAAAAAUUAGAGACGAAAUUUAAUUUUAAAGUUUUCACUUUUUAAAACACUAGAAUACCAGAUUUUUGUAACAUUUUAAAAAGUUUGAAUUUUUUUUCCACAUUUAUAUAAAUGGGGUUAAAAAAUUUGAAUUUUUUUUCCAUAUUUAUAAAAAUGGGGCAGCAGACAUAUAAUUUUGGUUGGUUUUUGGGUAUAUAAUUUUUUUUGAAAUCUCCAAUUUUAAGUAAAUAGAGUCUUAAUAUCUGAAGUUCACAUAAUAGAUAAAUAGAAUUUAACAAAAGAAAUUAUUUUAAUUUUAAAACUCAAAUUUUCAUGAAUAAUUUAUUAUGAAUUGAAAUUAAAUGCAACAGAACUAAAAAAAUAUAAAGAAAUUAAAUGCAACAGAACUAAAAAAAAUUAAAUGCAUGCGAAAAAGAUUUAGUAGUCAACGGUAAAAAAAAAGAUUUGAUUUUUUCGGUUUUGAAGAUUUGAUUUGAUUAUUAACCUUAUAAAAACAGAGCCAACACACUCCAAACAUAUAGUGAAUUGAAUUGAACAUUGUUAUUCUUGUUCCAUUUUCUUUUGUUUGUUCUCCAUACACAUAACACAAUGAGUUCUUUAUCGGUAAUGAAUUUGGAGAAUACUAAACAACCUCGUAAGCGACUUAUAAUCAAGUUUUCUUCUCAAAAGAAUCAUUCUCAAGGAGAUAUUAAGAUGGAACAUUCCAAGCCAAUUGUUACAUGUUUCUGGCUUGACGCUAAAGAUUCAACAGCUAUUAUGUCUCAACAAAACAACAACACAACAACCGAUUCUGUCAAAGAUUCAAAACCCAUCUUGUCUAAAGAAGUUGGUGUGCAAGUAAUGAAGGAUUCUUGUUCCAAGAAGAUUAUCAAUGAAACAAGAAACCCAAGAACCGAAAAUUGUUGCUUGAAGACUGAUGGCGGUGAGAUCAUGAAUGAAAAGAGAAAGAAGCCGAUGCAACAUUACAAGAAGAUGCAAUGUUGGGUGAUUUUGAAGAGGAUUUUGAUUGGAAGAGAUAGCUGGCCUCUAAAAGACCCUAUUGAUCUCAAGUUCUUGAAGGCUUUUCAUGACAAGGAUAAUUUAGAGAACAAGUCUAAAUUGAAGACUAUGGGUUUGAAGAAUAUUGAAUCUAAAUUGCAAUUCUAUUCAACACCCGAUGAAUUUGCUACUGACAUCAGAUUUGUAUUCUCUCAAAGAAUGUUAUUAUAUCCUCCUAGAAAUGAGGUUCAUAAAAUUGCGUUAAAGUUUAGUGAAUAUUUUGAAAACAAAUGGAAGUCUCUCAAAAAAGAUUGGGACCUUGAGGAAAGAAAAAUAAACAAGAGAAAAAGGGAUGAACAUGCUCAUGAGAUGAAAGACUUCUUCCAAACCAAAAGGUCAAGAUAAGAUAUGCAAGACAACAACCCGUUUCUUUUGCAUGUUGCCAUCGUCACUUUAGUAUUAACACUGCUAUGUAUAUACUAGAUAUUUUGUCAAUUUUCACAACAUAUUGUUAUUGUUCUUAUUCUUGUAUUUGUGUCCAAUUGGCAAUACAAAACAUAUUGUUCUUAUUCUUGUAUUUCUGUCUAAUUGGCAAUACAAAACAUGAUUUUGCUACUUUUCUCUCUUUAUUACAUGUGUGUUUAAAGUUUAAUAUCAAUUACAAUUGUGUUUAAUGUUAAAUCUUAUUUUUUUUUUAAACUUUUCGUUAGAAUGAUCUAACUUUGUUACAAAAUUUAAAAUAGUUAGAAGUAACUUAAAUUCAAUUUUUUUUUCUAAGUAUGUUGACUAUCGAUAACCUGUUGCUUAUUUUUUAAAGAUAAUAUUGAUGGUUUAAAAAUAACAUAAUUAAUGAAAUAAAUAACAUUUUUCAUUUAUUUAUUUUAUAUUUUAUAUUAAAUUUAUUUGUUAUACAUUGUCUUAGUAAAAAAUAAUUUCGUGCAGAGCCAAUUUAGAAAAUUUUACAUUAUCAUCACAUCACAAUAUUUAUAGACAUGAUUUUAGAGCUAGUUAUGAAAAAAAUCAAACACAUCUAAUAAAUGUGAUUGACAGAUAACGUAACAACUUUGUACACUAAAUAUGUAUAUAAUUAAAUCCUAGAUUCUCGUUAUUUUUUGUUGAAAUUAUUAAAAAUAAAUAUUUUUUUAUGGGAAUAUUAUUUUGAUAUUGAAACAUAAUUUAAGAACCAAUUCAAAUGCAGUAAUCUUUUCAGAGAAACAUUCACUAAUUUAAAGACUAAGUCAAAUACAAGCGAGCUUCUUUACAUAACAUUAUCUAGUUGAAGAGUUUUACUAUUUUUUUUUUCUUUCUUACAUUAACAAUUAUUUUUACAAAUAAAAUGGUUAUUGCCAGCUUUUAUAGUUUAAGAAAGAUCAUUUCAUACCAAAAAAUAUCAUUUCAUUGUUUAUAACCAUUAUAAAAAAAAUUUAUAUUCGAUCGUAAUAAAUAUUCAACAUUUGACAAUUAUGAGCAAUAAAAAAUCUAAAAAAAAAAUAUAUUUUAUUGACAUUAAUAGAAAAUACUCAAUUAUUUCAAUAUUUAAACGAUAAAAUAUAAUUUUUUUUUAAAAAUUCAUUUUAUUUAAAAACCAAAUGUACCCACCCGUACAUGUCAAAUUGACAAUCGGAUCUACUGUCAACUUAAAAGAGGCGUUUAACUAUGCCUUUGGAACUAUCACUAAAUGUUUUCGAUUUGUAUCUAGAAUAAUGACUGUCACUAAAAACUAAAUAAAUAUAAAUAAAUAUAAAUAAAGAAUUGAUAUAUUUCUACGGUAUUGUCUUUCACUAAAAACUAGAUAAAUAUAAAUAAAAAACCUAUCUAUUUCUAUGGUAUUAUCUGUCACUAAAAACUAAAUAAAUAUAAUAAAGAAUUGAUCUAUUCCUACAAUAUUUGAGGCGUGAUUGUGAAAAAUAAAAGAACAAUAAUAUCCUCGAUAUUUUAUCUAACUACAAAAAAAUAUAUCUCACCCUUAAACUUUUUUCUAGUUAGAGGCCCCACAUGAGUUCCUCCACUCGUUUUUCAAGUUUAUCAUUCCCUUCUUUAUGUGCGUCAAUUUUUCUUACAGCCUAAAGCAAAUGGAAACAGAUAUCAACUGAGAGUAGAGAGAAACACAAAAAUCAUAAAUAAAUAAAAAAUGAGACUGCUUAAAUAUUAAUUGAUGAGUCAUAUAGAAGCAACUUAAUUUUUAUAUAUGAGGUUCCUAAGUUUGGAACUUUCUAUUUUCAGGUUCCUAAGUUCUUUUCUGGCUACACACCAUCUCUAUCGGCAUUGUGUUAGAAUUGAACCUUUCUUCAGCCUCUUAUAAUAUGAGGAAGACUUGUAGCAUUGCUAGCGAGCUUGAAAUUUUUGAGAGAGAAUUUAAACAUUGAAUGCAUAUGUCCUUAACAAAUGGUCAUAAUCCUACAAGAGUCAACUAUAACCUAAAUUGUGAUGAAGCUUUAGUCCGUUUCCUAAAAUUGAACUCUUUAUGGGCAGCGAUUGCCCUCAAAGCUGUUUGAAAAAAGUUAAAGAAGAAACUGUUGACCACAGUAACGAUCAUUAACAUUUUAAGAAACUAUGAAUUGUGGCUUCCUUCCUAUGUUUCUGCAAUAAAACUUCCCUACUGGACAAGCUAUAGACAUUGAACUUCAUUGAUUCAAACAUCUAUUUAAUACUAUUUAUUAUUGAGUAGAUUCAAUCUGAAAAUUUUCAUAAAAUUUAAAAAAUAUUUGAUACUACAAUAUGAUAGCAUACAUAGCAGGUUCAUCAGUGCCAUCAGGGCAAUCACAGAAAUUAUCGUUAAGACGGUCAAUGGAGAAGGCUUUUGAUCCAUCCUUACAUUUGAUGAGGUGAGAGGUAUAAUAUUAAUACAGUGGGUAGAACUAGGGAAGUAAACAAAUAAAUAUUAAUAAGAGAUGGGGGUAUACAAUGUGCAGGGUAAAUGAAUAUGCAAUUGCAAGCAAUGGACCAAUUUUAGGGACUUACAUAUAGAAAAUACGUCAAACAUACCUUAAGUUAAAUGCAAUACUUAAUUCAUAAAUUCUAAUAAUCUUGAAAUUCUAACAGUAUUAAACAUAUGAUCCUUUACAUACUUGUUCCAUAUCAAAUUCUUCAAAUGUAGGAAUUCUAAUUUCCUGAACAGCCACCAGAAAGUUUCUAACGUUUUCAAAAUACUGAAAUGCUGAUAAUGACUCUCCAACCUAUAAAGAAUAAUACAUAAUUUACAUAACUAAACAAAUAAUAACCAAAAACAUAGAGUAAAUAAAAUAAGGAACAUCCAAACUGACAUUGAAUACAUCACCUAGUUGAACUUUGUUAAGAACAUUACAAAGAAUGAUCCCACUCCUCAAACAAAGCCUAAACUCUUCCUUAUAAGUCUCUACGGGUAAAUGUUUAGCUGCAACAACUCCAACCAUUUUUCUCAACCACCAUGCUGCUUCAUAUCUUCUAAAUGUUUCAUUUUAUAGAAUUUAUUUUUCAGUCUCAAAAUAGCUGAUACAAAUUCCAAAUAUCUUUUUAAUAUAAUAUUGACAAAUAUCAACCUUCAUUAAAAUCAAUAUCAUAUAGAAAAGGAUGAUAAUUUGAGACAUUAAUGAAAAAAAACUGAAAACUGAUUAUUCCUAGGAAAUUACCAGCUUAUUCCACUUUUCUAGAUUCCAAAUCAAGAUAUUUGAGGCGAGUACCGUGUUGUUGAAGCACAUCUUCAACCACAGAAGCAACUGAAAACGACAAUGUUACCAAUUCAAGAAAGAAGCAUAUUGAUUCUAUAAUCUAUAACAUUUCCCAUUUUCUCUGUACAAACUGGUACUCCAACUCCACUAACACAACUACCUCUUUCUAUCUCUAUCUAUCUGCUUUACAGUAUACAAUACUCCCCAUUACUCUUCCUUGCUUUGGUUCUCUCCUUACGUCAUGCUUCGACUCCAAACCUCAUUAGCAAUCUAACCUUUCAGAUCCUAUGGAGUCUGAACAGAGACAUCACUCCACAUCUUAUAUUUAUGAACUCUUGUGCUGAUAAAUAGGCCAACAUCGAUAAAGGUGGCCCCAUCACUAUUUGAUUCCUUAGAAAAGGCAUGCGACCUGUCUGCCGCAUUGGGGGUGUAGUUCUCUCAAAUAAUCAAUAAUCUAUGUUAGGAUAACUGUAGCCUGCCAUGAUCAUAAACCCCCCAUCAUCAUCUGUAAGCCCUCCUUCAAAUACAAGAUUCCCAAUAUGUUCCUCCAUGAACACAAACUUGAGCUGCAAGGACUCUUAAAGCAUUAGCUUCUCCUUGCUUGAAUAGACAACAAACAGUUUCAACUAUAAUUUAGGGAGCCCGAAAACUGGCGACCGUGCAUAGUUCAAUUAGAAAGAAAUAUAAAUUUUUUUAUAGUAUAUCAUCCUCCAACCUUUAAACAACAGGUAUUCAUGAGAAACAACAGUGUUUUCCCUAAGAAUAAGAGAGCCUAGUCUACCACCCAAAACUGAAUUCCCAACCAAACAACUCCCUCUUAUUUAUAACAACUAUUCUAUCAUGCGUAUUGUAACAAGGCCUUUCAACUUGAUUCCUUGGCCCAUCUUGAUGUAAUCUGCCUUAGAACAAUAAGUAGGUGAAUUGGAGAAUUGGUUACAAUAUGCUUAUGUGGAAAAUCCGUUAGAAGAGACAUUAAUGAGCCAAACCCAAUACCUAACAUAAUCUCUCCUAAUUAAGGCCUGAUCCUAAUUCCUAACAUACCCACAAACCAAAUAGGGUGGAAUUCAAACUUUACUUCUUAAUUUGUCCAAAACUUAUUCUUUAGAAAUGUAANNNNNNNNNNNNNNNNNNNNNNNNNNNNNNNNNNNNNNNNNNNNNNNNNNNNNNNNNNNNNNNNNNNNNNNNNNNNNNNNNNNNNNNNNNNNNNNNNNNNNNNNNNNNNNNNNNNNNNNNNNNNNNNNNNNNNNNNNNNNNNNNNNNNNNNNNNNNNNNNNNNNNNNNNNNNNNNNNNNNNNNNNNNNNNNNNNNNNNNNNNNNNNNNNNNNNNNNNNNNNNNNNNNNNNNNNNNNNNNNNNNNNNNNNNNNNNNNNNNNNNNNNNNNNNNNNNNNNNNNNNNNNNNNNNNNNNNNNNNNNNNNNNNNNNNNNNNNNNNNNNNNNNNNNNNNNNNNNNNNNNNNNNNNNNNNNNNNNNNNNNNNNNNNNNNNNNNNNNNNNNNNNNNNNNNNNNNNNNNNNNNNNNNNNNNNNNNNNNNNNNNNNGGAGACACUGCGAAAUUACCUAACUACCGACUGGCCUAUCAAGCAAAUUUAAGCUCCACUGAAUAUCUAUUUACCAAUUUUAUGCUAUUUUACUUUUUUCCCAAUUCCUUAUUGUGUACUUAAGAGAAAAUAAAUUAAAAAUCAGUUAGAAAGUGAGAACAAAAGAAGAGGGUCAAAUAAUUAUUGAACUGAAAUUAAAGCAUUGUAAAUUGAAAUUUUAGAUUAGCACUCAUAUCAGCUCAAAAUUAGAACAAAUCGUAAACCCAUAACUUCAUUCAGUACAUUGCGAAUGAAUGACACUUAAUAAGCAAGAGUACCAAAAUAAAAAUUGAAAUCACAAAAUAAAAUGAUUUGGAAAGAGAAUAGAACUUACUUGCUAUUGCAAAACGUGAGAAACGACAGAGAUGAAACCUCAUUCAGCAAAUCGCAAAGUAAUGACACUUAACAAGUAAGAUUACCAAAAUAAAAAUUGAAAUCGCAAACUAAAAUGAUUCGGAAAGAGAAUACAACUUACUUGCUUCUGCAAAUCGCGAAGUGAAACGAGAAAGAUGAAUUUAGGGUUGUUUAAAAUAAAAUUUAGGGUUUUUGGGGAUUAGGGUUUGUUAAGACAGUAGAGAGAAAAGGGUUUUAGAAAUGCAAAGAAAAAGAAAAGGUUUCUAAGUGUUUUUCGAAGGCGAUGUGUAGUUGCAUUUUCAUGGUACAAGACCAAACGGGCAAAACCUACAUUUUUAUGCAUUUAUUUUUUUAUUUAUAAAAGAGUAUAAUAAUUUUAAAAACA
rnacentral:lncRNA from 1 species